ensembl:snRNA U6 U6 spliceosomal RNA
GCACUCGUUUUGUCAGCACAUACUAAAAAAACUUGAAUGAUACAGAGAAGAUUAGCAUUGCCCCUGGGCAAAAAAGACAUGCAAAUUUGUGAUCGUUCCUUUUUUUUU